ensembl:antisense Gm29050 predicted gene 29050
AGCUUUUCAGGUUUGCAAUGUGAAUUGAAGACCGUCAGCUCUCCAAGGCUCCUUAGGCCCCCUGCAUUACAGUAGGACUCCUGCGGUACCCAGCCUCAAACACUUAUCAGCUCCUGAGUUUUCAGCUUCCCCCAUAAGAGAGCCAUCCUUGGGCUACUCUGGCAGUACCAUGUAAGCCAAUCUAGCAAAAACCAGUACUUCUAACACCAAGAAUACCUUUAAUGCCGGCACCCAGAAACUGUGAAAAAGCAAAGUCACCCAGCCUCUGGAUGCUACACAACAGGAGACCUAAACAAGAGACCCUCCAGCUUUCGGAACCCCCGCUUCACCCCACACUUGGCCGUGCACUGCGUUUUCUGUCUUCGGUAUCUUUAGAAGGGUGACUUAAAACUUAAUAUCUUUCUGGAUUUUCCAAAUAGUCUCUGCGCUCUUUACCAUCUGGGCCUCCUCUGUAGGGCUCAGCUUUACCUUUAUGAUAUCAGAUAUGCCACUCUCUCCCAGGAUACAAGGCACGCUGAGGAACACCUCCUCUUUGAUUCCGUAGAGACCUUGGAUUUUGGUGGUAACUGGAUGCGUCUUCCUGAGAUUCUUCAGAAUACUCUCUGCAAUAUCAGUUACAGACAGGCCAAUGGCCCAGGAAGUAUAACCUUUCAUUUUGAUAAUAUUAUAGGCACUGGCAAUGACUUCUUUGUGGACAUCGCCCCAUUUCUCGGGGUCUUUGCUUGUUCCUAUAGCUGAAUUCAGCUCUCUCAGCGGCACGCCGGCGAUGUUCACACCACUCCACACAGGGACACUUGAAUCUCCAUGCUCUCCAAGGACCCACCCGUGGCAGCUUUCAGAGUGGAUCCCAAGCCUCUGCCCGAGCAUGUAACGGAAGCGAGCUGUAUCUAGGUUACAGCCGCUUCCAAUAAUACGGUUUUUGGGAAACCCACUCAACUUCCAGGUUACGAAAGUUAAGAUAUCCACUGGAUUGGAGACAACAAUAAUUUUGCAGCGAGGGCUGUGCUUGAUAAUUUCCGCAACCAUUGCCUUAAAGAUGGUUACGUUUCGCUGGACUAAAUUCAGGCGUGUCUCAUUUUUCUCUUGGCGUGCACCCGCUGUGAUAAUCACUACCUCAGAGUUGGCAGUGACACGGAAAUCCUUGCUGCAAACAAUAUUUGGCAUUUUCAUGAAGACACUGCCGUGCUGAAGAUCCAUCGUCUCACCCUUCAUUUUUUCUUCAUUAUUAUCAACAAGGGCGAGCUCGUCAGUCAAGCCUUUCGCUAUGAUGCCGAUGGCACAGGCCAUGCCGACUGAUCCAGUUCCUACAAUGGAGACCUUGUUGUGGAGAACGGGCUCUUCGGAACUGAUGUGCUGGAUAAGUUCACCCUUCACGGUCGCCAUGGAGGACGUGGGCGUGAGGCUCCACCAGGCCCGGUUGGGAGGGACACGUUGCACCUGACUGGGCCAUAGAGCUAUGCCAAAGCCCUUGAAAUCUACCCUGGUUGUACUCACUCUUCUGCUGGCUCUCAAGAUGCUUGUAGCCCAGGCCAUGGCUGCGCACUCAGGUGGAGGAAGUGAACAGGGUGAGGAAGACAGUUGAGGCCACAACGGCGGCCGUUGCUAGGCAGUACAGACGCGGCCCUCCAGCACUGCGGCUGCGCAGUUCCCUAACUGUGCUGCAUGGGCUUAGCGCACAGACUGGGUCUUCUUGCUCCUACACCUGCAAGCCUGCACCAUGGCUUUAUAAAGCGCUUCCAUUUCCAGCAAGGACAUACUGUAGUUUGUUUUACAAACCCAUAUUCUUUACUAUUGCUAUAUAAAGCCCAACCCAGAACCCUUGAAGUAUUUGUUUGCUGUUCUUAGGGUACAUAGCAAGAAGAUUGGUUCUGGCAACUCCAGAUAAAAAUGAGGCUAAAAUCUUGAACCACAACAAGGAGGGCUGUGCUGUCUGUCAAGAGGCAGUUUGGCUGGAGAAAUGGGCUCUUGGUUCGGUGUAUCCAGCAGGAGAACCGUUUGUUAAGGAAGGAUUUUUAUCUGUAUCCUAACCAUGGUGCAUACCCGUGAAAGGCAGCAGGAAGGAGGGGCAAUCUGGUCUACACCGGAAGAGCACGCCCCUUCUUUCUCAGGCCAAAGGAAAGCCUGGGAUUGCAUGCAAAUUAAACAGCAAAAUGGCUCAGUGGUUAAGAGCGCCUAGCGCCCUGUAGAGGAUCCUGAUUGGUUUCUCAGGACCCCACAUCACGUGGCUCACAGUUGUCUUUAGCUCCAACUUCAGAGACACUGGAUAGCCUCUGUGGGCACAUAGUCCACAUGGUAACAGAAAUUCCACGGUCUCUCACACACAUUCACAUAAACAAAUAUAUAUAUACAUACACCACACAAAUCAAAACAAUAAUCUUUCCCUAAGCCCUCCAAUUUCUUAUGGAAAAAGAUGGCCCUUAACCCUCUAUAAAAUGAAGGUAUCUUUGAAAUGACAUUUUAACAUUUAGCCGAUGGUUACAUUAGAUUCUUACUGAAAUAGUGAAAUAAAGUUCCCUGGCAAACCUG